GACCCGGUGGCGGAUGGUCCGCGCCCACGCUGCAUAAGGGAAUGGUCGUGCCCAUCAGCGGGAGGUCCUGGUUCGAAUCCAGGCUGGGUCA